AACCUGCGGAGGGAUCAUUAAAGAGUUGCAAAACUCCCAAACCAUUUGUUUAUCUACCUGUUUCGUUGCUUCGGCAGGCGGCUCCUAACGGGGCCUUCGCCCUCUGGGGUGCCUGCCGGAGUAUCCAAAACUCUUGUUAAUUACUGUUUCGUCUGAGUAAACUUUUAAUAAGUUAAAACUUUCAACAACGGAUCUCUUGGUUCUGGCAUCGAUGAAGAACGCAGCGAAAUGCGAUAAGUAAUGUGAAUUGCAGAAUUCAGUGAAUCAUCGAAUCUUUGAACGCACAUUGCGCCCAUUAGUAUUCUAGUGGGCAUGCCUGUUCGAGCGUCAUUUCAACCCUCAAGCACUGCUUGGUGUUGGGGCGUCUGCAGCUCCGGCUGCAGGCCCUGAAAAAUAGUGGCGGGCUCGCUAUAACUCCGAGCGUAGUAAUCUCUCUCGCUUUGGAAGUGUGGCGGUUCCCGGCCGUUAAACCCCCCAAUUUCUGAAUGUUGACCUCGGAUCAGGUAGGAAUACCCGCUGAACUUAAGCAUAU
rnacentral:rRNA from 1 species